rnacentral:rRNA from 1 species
CCUACGGGUGGCAGCAGUGAGGAAUGUUGGACAAUGGGCGCAAGCCUGAUCCAGCUAUUCCGCGUGUGGGAAGACGGCCUUCGGGUUGUAAACCACUUUUGUAGAGAACGAAAAGUCUAUUGAUAAUACCGAUAGAUGAUGACGGUACUCUAAGAAGAAGCACCGGCUAACUACGUGCCAGCAGCCGCGGUAAUACGUAGGGUGCGAGCGUUAAGCGGAAUUAAUGGGCGUAAAGGGUGUGCAGGCGGUUUUGCAAGAUGGAGGUGAAAGCCCCGGGCGUAACCUGGGAAAGCCAUCCCUGACUGCAAGACUAGAGUGCGUCAGAGGGGGGUGGACUUCCACGUGUAGCCGU